CAGCACCGCGGGAAUACGGAGGGUGCAAGCGUUAAUCGGAAUUACUGGGCGUAAAGCGCACGCAGGCGGUUUGUUAAGUCAGAUGUGAAAUCCCCGAGCUUAACUUGGGAACUGCAUUUGGAACUGGCAAGCUAGAGUCUUGUAGAGGGGGGUAGAAUUCCAGGUGUAGCGGUGAAAUGCGUAGAGAUCUGGAGGAAUACCGGUGGCGAAGGCGGCCCCCUGGACAAAGACUGACGCUCAGGUGCGAAAGCGUGGGGAGCAAACAGGAUUAGAUACCCCGGUAGUCCCUGUCUCUUAUACA
rnacentral:rRNA from 1 species